GGGGCUGUAAGGCGUUCGACAUUACUAUUCAAUAAUAGUAUUACUAUAUAUAAGCUUCCUCUAAUAAGAGGGUUUAAUAUUAAUAAUUAAACGCAAACAAUAUUUUACCUUUAACCCGGAAAACAGCUUUAGUAGAGUUAUAGUAAACUUUUACAAGUGAGCUUUCUAGUUUCAUAUAAAUAAGUUUUUGUGUUUUUUAUAUGAAAAAGAAAAUUACAAAAAUGCUCUUAUGAUUAUUAAGAAAAGUUGAAAACUUAAUGAUUAUUUUAAUAAAGCUUAUAGAACUAUAAAAAAUUGUAAUGGACGUGGGUUCAAUUCCCACCAGCUCCA
rnacentral:tmRNA from 1 species